CCUUUAAUGUUUGAUGUUCUAACGUGGAUCCGUAAUCCGGGUUGCGGACAGUGUCUGGUGGGUAGUUUGACUGGGGCGGUCUCCUCCUAAAGAGUAACGGAGGAGCACGAAGGUUGGCUAAUCCUGGUCGGACAUCAGGAGGUUAGUGCAAUGGCAUAAGCCAGCUUGACUGCGAGCGUGACGGCGCGAGCAGGUGCGAAAGCAGGUCAUAGUGAUCCGGUGGUUCUGAAUGGAAGGGCCAUCGCUCAACGGAUAAAAGGUACUCCGGGGAUAACAGGCUGAUACCGCCCAAGAGUUCAUAUCGACGGCGGUGUUUGGCACCUCGAUGUCGGCUCAUCACAUCCUGGGGCUGAAGUAGGUCCCAAGGGUAUGGCUGUUCGCCAUUUAAAGUGGUACGCGAGCUGGGUUUAGAACGUCGUGAGACAGUUCGGUCCCUAUCUGCCGUGGGCGCUGGAGAACUGAGGGGGGCUGCUCCUAGUACGAGAGGACCGGAGUGGACGCAUCACUGGUGUUCGGGUUGUCAUGCCAAUGGCACUGCCCGGUAGCUAAAUGCGGAAGAGAUAAGUGCUGAAAGCAUCUAAGCACGAAACUUGCCCCGA
rnacentral:rRNA from 2 species